AAACUCCUCGGCUCCCGGCGCCGCCGCCACCGCCGUGGUCCCCACUCGAAGCGCACGCCGCCUCGGCUCGCUGGCUCCAGGGAGUCGUCUCGGCGGGACAGGAAUAGAGCGCAGGGAGCUCGGGAGGAAGGCUGCGCGCAAGCGAGGGACGGAGAGCCAUCGGCCGCCAGGACAGGGCCGGAGGGACGAGGCGACACGCGCGCGACGCAGGACAAAUCGGAGCUUGGGAAAUCUCCCCGUCCCCCAAGCUUCAGAGGGGGGUAAAAUCAGAAAAUGUGUGUGAUGGUGGGAGAGAGAUCCGGGCGCGGCGACUCCUCGCAGCGCAUCCGGCUCCCGCACCCACCCGUGGAUCUGGCCACGGCUGUUGCGGACUCGUCUCGGGAAAGCGGAGGCCGAGCGCGCGUAGGGGUGCGUGUCUGGCUGGGGGUGCGCAGUGGCGGAAACAAGACAGGAGGCGGCUUGGGAAAAAGUGGAGCAGAAAUGGAAAAAUACAAACUCACCCGCUGCAAAUGGUCUCUCGGUGCAAACUAAGGUGUUUUCGGGCCUUUCCCCGCGCGCGCCCACUCCCGCCCGCGCGCGCACCCCGCGCACACACUCACUCGCGCACACACGCGCGCACACACGCACUCCCGGGCGAGGGCCGGGCCGCCGCGAGUACAGCGUGCAACCGCCACACAAUAAAUAACAAUAGAUUCCUCCGCUCCGGACUAGCUUCCCGGAGCCCAGCCAGCGCCGGUGGCGGCGGCGGCGGCGGCAGAGGCGCGGGCAGCACCGGCCCGGGGGCGCACCCCGGCCCGACCCUCUACCUCCCGCAGGGGUCCCCUCUCCGCUUCACGCACCCCGCUGGGCACUCCAGCGGCCCCCCGAGCGGGAGCGGCUCCCUCUUUGCCGUUCGCCGGGGCGCUGGCGCCCACCCCCCUCCUCCCUCCCCCCUCCCCCCCGACAUCCCGGAACAAAUAAAUAAAUAAGGCGCGCGAGAGAGGCCAACACGUCGCGGAGGGAGAUGUUGUUAUUUUUUGCUGUUGUGCGUCCCUGACGUCACAUCCACCUGCUGGGUAAACAACCGGGCUCCCAGAAAAAAAAAAUCGCAAUUGCCAAAGAAUGGGGGGGGGGGUUGGGGGGAGGGAUCCAGGGAGGGGGAAGUGAGGGGCGUCCAGGCAGGAUUGGAAAGAGGAGAGGGAGGCAGAGCCCCGCGGACCAGAGAGAGGAAGGGAACGCCAGAGCAGUCCCUGGCAACAGAGGGAUCUGGCAGGAAAGACCUGGAAAAUAAGGGGCAGGGGGGCGGAGGGGGAGAUUCCUCAGGAGAUGGGAAAUGGGGGGCCCAUUCAGACAGCGGAAAAAACGAGAAGGGAGAGUGUUAACUAGGGACGAAGAUGGGAAUGCGAUGGCUAUUUGCUUGGAUUCUGAGCUAAAAAUAUGAAAGGGAGGGGAGAGGACAGGCUAGAAUGUGAGUUUCCUCCAGUUAAAAGUGAAAGUGUUUUGCCAUCAGUGACAGUUGAAGGAGAGCGGGGUGGGAGGUGGUGUUUUCAACCCCCUUUCUCCCUCUCUCCCGUCCUCCCUCGGUCUCUCCUCUUUCUUUCUGCACUUUGUCCAAUGAAAGAAGGCGAGUUCGGGAGGUGAAAGUUCAGCAGAAGGACAAACCCCUGUUUGCAAGGAAACAGAAACCCCGCCAGCCAGCGAGGGGUUUUCUCCCCUGUUUCUCGGAAUCAGGAGAGUGUGAAUGUGGGACGAGCUUCUGCCCCCUUGUCAGAGCCACUGCAGGAAUGUGCAAUCGAGUCCACUUUGGGGGAAGGUGGCUGCAUCAGGAACUGUGUUCUUGCCACGACUCCUCUUAGGAAAACGCCUGGGGGCUAGCAUGUCAGUCCGUUGUUUAACACAAAUUACCUGCUCUCCCAGUGAUCAGUCACGUGCAAAAAGCUUUGUCCAAUUCUUUGAAAAGGUGAGAUUUUUUUUUUUCUUUUUGCGGUUUUUGAAGUUUGGUUGAAUUUAGAAAUUCGAAGGAAUAAACUAAGAGCCUGAAUUAAAUGUUUUGAAAUAUACAUACAUAAAACAAAAGACACUAGUAUUUCUUUCACUUUUAUCAAUACGCAUAGAGAAGGAAGCAGAGUAUGUGUUUCCAAAACGUGACUUGGAAAGCUGUAAGACCUCUAUGUCUUGUUGUUGUUGUUGUUGUUGUUGUUAACAGAAGUAAAUUUUUUCAGACCCACCACCACAGAAGUGGCCAGACUCCCAAACCAGCAUUUCCAGCUACUGGCUGGCUGGUGUACACCAGGCCAAUUCUUUAUGAGAAUAUAUUAAAAGUCACCCCUGUGGAUUCCUACAAAGUACUUCCCCUUGCGGGGAGGGGAGAGGCUUACUGUCCCUUUGGUCUUGAGACCAGCACAGUUGUAGAUAAUAUCCUGAAAAGGUUAUUAUUAAAUUCUUUCGCGUAAUGCCCCUUUACAAAUAUUGUUAAACAUUAAUUUACAGAAGAACUUAAAUCUUAAUUUCAAGGGUGGCAUAAGACUAUCGCUUUGAAAUUGUAUCUUUCGCAAGUUAAAAAAAAAAAAUAACAAAGCCAUUCGCUGAUGCUACAGAAUAAAAGAAAGGGAGGCUGCUAAGGUAAUUUCAGCCUGGUAGAAUUCACAUUGCAUGCAUGCUGCAUAAAGUUCCAUGCUAUCCAGAUAAGACUAUUCACUGAAUCUUUUAGACUAGAAUCUAGACCAAUAAAAUGCAUUUUAGUUUGUAUGGAAUGUCCUAGCUUCCUAGAGGCUAGGGUUCGACGUCUUGUUUGUCAAGACAUAAAGGGAUUAAUGACAUACCCACUGUGUGCUAGACCACAGAGUGGGCACAGAGGGAUGAAAAAAUAAAAAUUCCUGCCCUUGAGGAGCUCACAGUCUAAGCUGUCAAUAAUAACAUCUAACAUUUAUUAAAUACUAUGAUCUAGGCACUGAACUAAAAGCUUUAUGUCAACUCAGUUAAUACUGCCAACAACUCUUUGACAUCACUGGAAAUUCCAUAUGCUGAAUUCACACGGAAUUAAGUGGAAAUCUACAAAGUAGCCAGUCUACUGGUUCUGUAGUGGUCAACCUAUUAAAAAUGGUUUUUAAUUUCUAAAGUACUUUAUGCCAAAUAUAACAUGUUUAUGGUAUAUGCCUGACUGUAGAAUUAUAACUCAGGGGAAUAACGACUUAUUUAAAUGUAACAGAUCUAUUCAUAGUCUGUAAAGAACAAUUCAUCCUCUGAUCUUGUUUUUCAGAUUAAGCAGUGUGUUUAUUAAAAAUUAUUAUCAUCGCAAUACUAAAAAGAUCUUUAGAUUGCUGCUAAUCUGAUUCUGCAUUUUAACUGCCUUAAAUUCUACAUUCACUUGCAAGUGGGGGCCACAGUCAGGUUGGCAACAAGUUUUGCAGACAAAAGGAAAUCCUGGUUGUAAAUCCCAUGAUAUAUUGUACUCAAUUUUGUAUGAUACUGUCUAAUGUGCUGUGCUGCCUUAUUAAAGAACUCGAUGUCCAUUUGGUUUACAUUAGAGGGAAACUUAACUGCAGCUUAACAUAUUGUUCAUUUUCAACACUGUCACGUUACAUUCGUGGGGGGCAGAUUUUAAUUUCUUUAUCAGUAAUCAACUGGAAGUUUCUUUUUGUUAAAUUAAAGCAAGAAAGGUUUUAAAAUAAAGGGCAUGGGGGUAGGACGCCACCUUUUGGUGAUAAAACAAAUAGAAAUCCCUUCUGAAAACAGAUGUUCCUGACAUAAUUUUAUUUUUAAUUACACCAAGGCAAAGGUGCUUGUCCCCAUUUCGUUAUAUUUUAAGUAACAGGAGAAAAAAAAAACCAAUGUAAAUGCAAAAUUAGCAAAUUAUAGUUAACUGCAGCCAAAAUUUUCCCAAACGUAUCAGAAUAUGUUAGUCCCCUGUCACAUUACUGUUGAUUGUAUACACCAAACAUGAGCUUCAUUCACCAAAUACCAUGUCACUAAAUAUAUGUACAUUUGGGGAACAGAAACUGGAGUGGACAUUUACCACCUGACGACGUACCUGAAUGCUCUUGUAAGUUUUGAGUUGAACAAAAACUAAAACCACUUAAUUUAGUGUUUCUUUAACCACAGUUACUGGUGUCCUGAUUUUUGCCAUAUCUAUAUGACAUAACAGUUCCCGAAUAAUUAAUAUACCAUACUCAUUGGAGGCCACUUAUUAUGGUAAUUGUAGCAAACAUUUUCAUUUAAAUCAACCUUCUUUUAAUUUUUUUCUAUUACUGCCUUAAAUGGGAAAUCAGUAUCACCCACCAUAAAUUAAAAACAAGCACAGUAAAAACAAAGUCACUGAUUUCUCUUUGAGGGUCAAAACAAAAAUUAAAAAUGAUUUUUGAAAAAAGGAGGGAGAGUGGCAAAUGUUGAGAAGGGUUAAGGACAAGAGUAUCAAUGGAAAUUUUUGAAUUUUUGUUUUUUCUCUCUCUUUUUUUCUGUUUUUUUUUUUUUUUUUUUUUUAACAACCAGAAGGAUUUAAAGUGAUCGGAAAGGAAUACAGUUCUCAAUGUGUGAUUCAGUGUUAUGCCAUCCUAGUGCCAAGGUUCCUACACUUUAAAAAACAUGGGCAUAACUAAGAAUAUCGCAUUACAGAUGAGGAAUCUAAGGCCCAGGGAUUUCAUUUGCCCUCCAAGGCAAAAUAAAUUUGGUUACUGGUUGGACAAGGAUUAGAAUCCAGGUGUCCUGACUUUGUGGGUUUCCAUCUCACUCUUUCCACUAAAGUGACCAAUCCUCAGACUUAAGUGGUUUGUCUAGCUUCUCAGAAACAGCUAACCUACAGACCCCUUUACAGAUCUGGGAGAAACUGAGGCCACAGAGGGUCAAGAACAAGUUCAACCCCCUGCUCACCGUCCUUUCUCUCCACCCUCUCUCCAUAGAUGUGACAGACAUCCAGGUGGGGGUCAACACAGCAAAGAAAGAAGGGAGGGUUGAGAAGAGAAAAGUGGAUUCAGAGAGGGGAGGUUAGUAAGCGUGGGCAGACCAUUCUCUAAAUGAAAGCUUAAACUCAGUUGCCUUCCAAGAAGAUAAAAAUGGCUAAUGAAAAUCAUGUGCUUCACAGUAAGUGGUAAGAGGAGCCCAUCCUCUGUGUCCUCAUGUCCCUAUAUGUCCACACCGGAAAUCAGCAGGGGAUCUCUUGUUUUAAAGUAUACAAUAUUAACAGGCACACUCUGAGACAAAACCACAUUUGAUAAUUUGAGUGGGUGGAAAAGCUAGUCAGGGAACGGGGAAUGACCCUAGCUUAAAAAGUGUUUUCCCCCACAACAAAACUUAAGAGGCUCAGAGUUAAAUCUAGAAACAAUAGUGCUUUUUCUGUUUUUCUAACUGGAGAGUGAGACCUUAGUUACCAAGACUGCACUUGCUGCUUUUUUUUAAAGUAUGCAGUUAUAUAAACAUAAAUAAAUAUGGCCUGCAAAUAUUUUUAUGUUUUUCUAAAUUGGUGAUUGUGAAAAGAGGUUGUGCAUGACUGUACUGUAUGAACAUGGGUCUCAGUGGACUGUAAUCCUCAUAAACUACAAGGUACGGUGAAGCAUUUGGCCAAGUAUCAUCAAUCCAAAAAGCUGUUCUAAUGCCCUGAGCAUUCCCAGUGCAACGUUGGUACCUUGGAAACAUGUAAAAGGAGUAUGGGUGGCUCAACCCCAUCUGCUACAGGUACUAGAACAAUCUACAGCCUUACUAUGCAAAAUGAGAUGUGCUGACCUGCAGAGCACCACCUCCAGGUUAUGUCAAAAAUGCAGAAUGUCAGGCCCUACCUCAGACCUAGUGAAUCAAAUAUCUGUAUUUUAAAAAAAUCACCCAGCCAAGUCUCACACACAUUCAAGUUGGACAAAGGUGAUCUAUAGUACAUGUGGCCCCUUAUACAACAGGCUGCAUCUCAAUAUCUUGAUAGCCUUAAACUAUUUCACAGGUAGUCCUGUAAGUCUGCCAUACAUGAUUCUCCAAACUGGCAUCUUUUAUAAACUUUGUUGGUUCCUUAUUUUUCAACCAUUUGCAAAGUUAAGUCACUCAAUCACCUAUGCAAACCAUAAUUAAUUCCUUUGACAUUAAUAGUCCGGUGACUUCUCUCUCCUGUUACCCCAAAGAGACUGCUAAUUGCCCUCCAAUUGUUUACCUUUGUAUUGUUUUAUGAGAGCUCAGAGAAAGAUGGAAGAUACUCUCCACCAGGCCAGAAACAAAUGCCAGACAGGUUUUGAAAAGGCUGAACACAUGCUAUGACUACACCUUGUUAGUAGAAGGGCUUUGCUUUCUUUGUUUUGUUUUCUUUUUUUAUGGAAGGGAUGACGCCUCCAUAAUUAUAGGUGCUGCUGUUUAAAACCCAGAGUGUUUUCCAAACCACUGAGGGGCCACACCUCCAGCAGCCCAUGAGCCAUCCUGGCUGGAUUAUCUUUCCAGUUCUCUAAACAGUUCAUCAAGCAGUACUAGAUUUACAUUAAGCAUAACGAGAGUAAGGGACCCCAUCCAAGUAUGGUUUCUUUCUGAAUAAACAUGAAGGACUCACAGGUAAACCUCACAGCUGAAGGUUAAUUUGUAUCUGUGAAGUUCUCAGAAAGACUGUAGUAAAGGCCCCUCACCCACCUAACAAGACAGCAGGUUACUUUUGUAACACCCCCCCAAAAAAUAAUUAAAACCAUUGUUUUAAUACUAUCCUAAGGCAGUGUAAUUAAGUCUCUGAGUGAGUAAUUGUGUACCUGCAUUCAAAAUAAGAUUUCACAUGUAAAGCAAAGUUCUGAUUGUAAUCUCCGCGAAGUGUCUUGGCCUACAUUUAGAAUGCACAAGUGCCAGCUCAGCGUUACAAUAGGCAUUGUUCAGUAGAGCUGGAGACAAACUGUGUUUUAUGAGAAGGGAAAUGAGGCAGGUCUACCUACCUUCGGGAACAGUAAGGCUGUGUGUUCCAAACUAUGGAAGAUUUCAGGAGGGACUGAAGGAUAUUAAGCAUGGUGGUAUGUUGAUGAGACAUCUCAGCCAUAAGCUUGGGAUUUGUUGAGUUUUUUGAAGUAAUGGCUAUAAAAUAGCUAUAAAAAGAAGCUUUCUUAUUUCCCCAAGAUGUCCUUGAACUACUUGUAAAAUUUUAAAACUAUACAAAGAUUAAAAAUCUGAUUUUCCCAAAGCUAGUAUGACUCCUUUGGCCUUGGACUGGAGUUGAAGGUAUUCAUGGGGUCAGGUUUUACACAAACACACACACACACACACACCCAUACACAUGAUAAAUAGAUAUAGACAUAAAUCUAUAUGUGUACAUAUGUGUAAAUUAGUAUACAUAAGUAUACACACAUAUAUUCCCUAGCUCUGUCCACUCAGAAUGACUAGAAGCAAUGAUGAUCCAAUAGCAAUGAGCACACCUAGCACCCAGAUCUUGGUUUCUAAAUACCUUUCUCCAAUACAAUAAAUCAGGGAUCCUUGAGGAGCUAGUUAAUUCCAGGGUUGGGGUAGGGAAAAUACAAAAUAAGCACGGAGCAUCUUGUGAUGGAGUAAAAACCCAAAACAAAAUGGGGGGCGGGGGGCAGCUCUGUAGAGGCUUACUGAAAGGCCACAGGAGGCAACCCCAGAGAGCUCCCAAAUGCCCAAAGUUGAGACAUCCUGAGCAAGAAAAGAAGUAACAAUAGUACUGGAUUAUAAUCCACAGAAGGAAAUCUAUAUGAAUCCAUACUAACAUGUAUAUAUGUACCCACAUGUAUAUGUGUAUAUAUCUACAUACAUAAACAAAUGACACCUCUUCCUUCCGGAAGAUGGGUAGGGCUCAGCAAUCUGCGUUUUAACAGUUUUUAACAGGUGCUGCUGCUGCCACAGCCUAUAGAACUCAAAUCAGGCAACUGAAAUCUUGGAAGUAAGGAGGCAUAGGCAUAGGGGCUACAGCAAAUUUGAGCACACAGGCCUCAGCUAAAAGUGGCAGGUGCUAUUUGCUAUUACCAGGAAAGCAAGCACAGGGCGGGAAGAGCUUUUGAGUUUUCAAGGGAGGCAAGAAAUCAAAGUCUUUCUCAGUUUUAAAAUUCUAAAUGGGCAAAUCAAAACAGAGCUGCAGCAUCUGUCAAGGCCACUGUGCAUUUGUACAUUUGUCACUCUUUGCAGAAACUAAGUCCCAUGUCAGUUUAGGAUAACAGGAUUUGUUUCUCAAGUGAGCAGGGUGAAAACAAUCAGAAGAGAUGAAAAGAAACUUAGAGGGUACUCUGACUUCCUCUUAAAUUCCUUCCCAGGCAUGAGUAAGUCCCCAUAAGCCCCCUAAACAUCCUGGGGAGGAAGGCUGGCCUACAUUCUGAGUCAUGGCAGCAAAGACACACAUUUUCACAAUACCAAAAGGUCAAAACAUCACUAUUUAGAAGGUGCUGUUAUUUAGAAAGAUUCUUUAUUUCUCCCCCAGAAGAGUGAGUUCAAGGCUGGGUGCAGUGGUUCACACCUGUUAUCUCGGCACUUGGGGACGCUGAGGUGGGAGGAUCCCUUGAGCCCAGGAGUUUGAGACAACCCCCAGCAACAUAGUGAGACCUCAUUUCUACCAAAAAAUUAAAAAUUGGCUGAGAGUGGUGGUGCACACCUAUAGUCUCAGCUACUGGGAAGGCUGAGGCAGAAGGAUGGCUGGAGCCUGGGAGGUCGAGGCUGCCGUAAGCCAUGAUCGCACUACUGCUCUCCAGCCUGAGUAACAGAGCAAGACCUUGUCUUAAAAAUAAAAAUAAAACACAAUUUCUUUAAUUUAAAAACCUAAAAAUUUUACUGGGAUAUUUUACUCAAGAAAUUCAUGCAUAGGUGACCUCUAGCAACCAUUAUUAUUACCCUCCCUCUGAUCUAUCCUGAAGAAAGCCAAGGAAAAGAGUUGAGUUGGUCUUUGCCUCAUCUCUCUUGUGUCCACCCUUGCAUACUCUUUCUGCUCAAAUCAGUCCGGAGCCACAUAUAUUAGAGUCCAUACUUUCAAGGAACUUGCAGUCUAACUGGCUGAAGAUACGUAGUAAAUACAAAGAAGGUCAUAAGAUGAAUACCUUAGAGGAAGCAGCAGAGGAGUAAGGAACCACAUUGCAGUGGGGGCAUGUCAAGACAAUACAGCAAAGAGUCAUUUGCAGCUGGGUCUUCCUGGAGAGCUAAGAUUUUGGCACUUGGGGCUAGGAUAGCCAAAGAGCACUGCAAGAGAAAGUGCAGCAGCAGCAAUGAUAUGGAAUCUACAAUGCUCAGGACUGGUUCACAAACUGCUGCGCAUUGGAAUCAGCUGGAGGGCUUUACAAAGGUUGGCUCCCAGGCCCAGACACUGUGAUUUAAUUGACCCAGAGUAUGAUCUGGGCAUCAGGACUUUUAAAAGCUUCCCAGGUGAUUCUAAUGUGCAGUGAAGUUUGGGAACCCUUGAUCUGGGUGAGUCUGAGGACAGCAGUGCACAGUUAGCUCGGCCUGUGUGAGGGGUCUUGGAGCCCUAAGUUACCCUAAACAUUGUCCUUCCAUAGUGACCAGUAUCCUUUCUUUGAGAAAACCAGUCAAUUAGGUGAAUUCCCCAGAAGGGGCUAGGCUGGCCUUCUUCUUCAGUGUGGCCCUCAGAUACAGGCCUCAGCAUCACCUGGAUGGAGGGCGUCAUUAGUAUCAGGGCUCCAGAAAAAAAGAAUUGAUUAAUUUCUUGGGAUCCAGGAGCCCAUUUCAAGCCUGCUAAAUCAGCAUUGGUGAGGGGCCUGGAAGUUGGCAUUUUGAGAAGCUCACCAUAUAGUUUGUUAUGCUGUAUGUUGAGGUUUGGAAUCCUUCUAUGGAGAUUUCCAAUUGCCACCUACUCUGAGACUGUCUCCAUUUUAAAAGGGAAGCCUUAAAAAGGGCAAGACAUAAAAGAAACAAAUCAAGACAGCUAAGCAUUGUCAAAGAUUCCUAGAAGUCAUGGUGGAAUUUUCCCUCAGGUUUCCACAGGUGGAAAGAGAGUCCUCAUUUUCCACAGGUGGAAAGAGAGUCACAAAAAAGGUUGGUUGAAUUACCUCAGAACUAGACACGGUAAGGUCUUGGUUAUCGGCAGGGUCUUGGGCCUUAGACAAACCUGGUGGAAAAUCUCUGCACCAGCACCAUGCUUAAUCAGUGUACCACCCUGGGCAAGUUUCUGAACAUUUCCAAGCCUCCAAUAACUGGACACAUCUCACAGGGCUGCUGAGAAAAUGGAACGAGAGAAUGCCUGCACCGCACUUAGCCCAGGGCUGAGUGCACAGUGAAUGCUCAGCAAAUCUUAAUGCAUUCCGAAGUAGCAGAGCUUGAUUCAAAACUCAGGAAGCCAGUUCAGCUCUUCUCUGGAUUUCAACAGAAAGAAUUCUAGGCCUUGGAGCCUCAGAAGUAGAGGAAUGUUUUUUAUGUCUGGAUUGUCUCUGUGCCUUUCAAAUCAUUCCACCUAGGCUGCCUGCCCUGCCCACUUCUGAAAUCAGAUCUGCUUCCCAUUCCACAAUUCUUGAUGCAAGAAUAAGAUGGAGAUACUUUCUUAAAAGAACUGGAAAAUAGCAAAAGAAGACUCACCUUCCCAGGCAGGGACAUCUGCAUGAAGCUGAGUGGGGUUCCUCCAGAUCAGAGUCUCUCAACCUCAGCACAAUUGACUUGUUGGGCUGGAUAAGUCUUUAUUUUGAGGUGCUGUCCCGUGCCUUAUAGGAUGUUAAGCAUUGUAAGUAUGGCACCUAUCCCCCUUUGUGGGAGAAACAACCAGAAAGUCUCUAGACCUUGCCAAAUGUGCCCUAGGGGGUCAAAGUUACCCUCAGGCAAGAAGCACGGCUCUAGAUGCCCCGCAGGCAGGCAGGCCGUAGCCUCUCUUUGGGCCACUAAAAUACCUUUACCUGGCACUGGUGUAUCAUUAAUCUGAUAACUUCCCCAUAAAGAAGAGCAGAAAUCAGUCUUAUUUCUAUCUGUAACUGGCUCUAUACAUAACCAAAUGAUUUUCUUUUCAUAACAGAGUGCUUAAGAUGAGACUGUAACUUGAAGAGAACCUCAAGGUGGGCUCUACAGGGUGCUCAGUGGCUACCAACCCAUUUUUCAGUUCUGGCAAAGCUGAACCUAUUCCAUCAUGAUUAAGCAGACUUUAUUAGAGUCCACGACUCCAUAAACAAUGUCAGAUAUGUUGUGAGCCCCAUAGCUCUCAGCCUAAAAACAAAACGCAAUAAAGGAAGUGGUAACAAAUAGAAUCAUAACUUUAGGAUAUUGCAUCUCAGGAUGAUGCAUGGAAUUUAAAUUAGGCAAGAGCUUCACCUGGAUGCUCUAAUUAAAAGUCUCCUUCUUCUGGGAUGUCCAGGGCAUUUGAAUCUCAGGUACUGAAGUCACUAAAACUGACCAGACGGUUUAUCAUGUGGAGAGGUUUGUUUCUCUCACUAACUCCACCUUCUCAAUACCCAGUCUUCAAUCCUGUGUAGGGCUCCUGAACAACCUACAUUGUGUAGCUUAUUGUUGCUGUUUUAGCGACGAAUUAUGGAAAUGUCUGAAUGGAUAGUAGAUUGCUAGAAAAAUUUGGGGGGAAAAUGUGUUUGUUUCCAAGACUUUUGCUAAGGUUGGAAUUUUGAUGGGUUUGCAGCUAACAUGAUUUCAAGAAUUCAUUUUGACUUUGGCAGAACCUUCUUAUGAGAAGAAGGAGUGGGCAUCAGCCAAGGCCCCUCACACAAGCAAGUCUGAUGUCAAUUUCAUCCACUCAUUCAUUCAACCAAUAUUCAUCACAUGCUACUGUGUAGUAGGCACCAUUCUAGAUAUUAAGGACAAAAGAGAAAACAAAACAAAAGAUAAAAUCCUUGCCCUCAUAAAGCUUACAUUCUA
rnacentral:lncRNA from 1 species